GACGAACGCUGGCGGCGUGCCUAAUACAUGCAAGUAGAACGCUGAAACUUGGUGCUUGCACCGAGCGGAUGAGUUGCGAACGGGUGAGUAACGCGUAGGUAACCUGCCUGGUAGCGGGGGAUAACUAUUGGAAACGAUAGCUAAUACCGCAUAAGAGUAGAUGUUGCAUGACAUUUGCUUAAAAGGUGCAAUUGCACCACUACCAGAUGGACCUGCGUUGUAUUAGCUAGUUGGUGGGGUAACGGCUCACCAAGGCGACGAUACAUAGCCGACCUGAGAGGGUGAUCGGCCACACUGGGACUGAGACGCGGCCCAGACUCCUACGGGAGGCAGCAGUAGGGAAUCUUCGGCAAUGGACGGAAGUCUGACCGAGCAACGCCGCGUGAGUGAAGAAGGUUGUCGGAUCGUAAAGCUCUGUUGUAAGAGAAGAACGAGUGUGAGAGUGGAAAGUUCACACUGUGACGGUAUCUUACCAGAAAGGGACGGCUAACUACGUG
rnacentral:rRNA from 1 species